rnacentral:lncRNA from 1 species
UAAUUUAGACCUUUUUAAUUAAAUAAGUCCUUUCUUCAAAGAAAAAAGUGUUUUUUCCUUCAGCAUUUGUUUGACCCCUCUUCCUCGUUUUCUCCUAAUAGUCCAAAGCAUCUCUCUCUCUCUCUCAGCUGCUGCUACAGUCCUAAACUGGAGGAAGCUACAAAGACCAUUUCUGGCCUCUGCACUCUAUUAUUCUUUCACAGUCAAAGCUAAGUCUUCAACUUCGGCUUAGAGGUUAUAUUGUAAUUAUUGAGAUCUUCUUGCUUUUCCAACUGUAAAGAAUUGUGGUUGCAAAUUUUGAAACAUUAUUCACAGAGUUCCAGCUUUCCCUUCGCCUUAAUUUGGUUAUUCAAGUUUGUCUCUACUGCUGUUUAGAGGGUUUUUGAAUUAUUGCUUUUCGUCAGCGAUUUUUCCGGCGAUCCCUGCUCUUUUCUUCCUAUUCUCUCUUCUGCUUUUUGUGGGGGUGUGUGGGUGUGUUCUGUUUUCUUGGACAUGAGUCUUCAACUUGGGUUUAAAGGUUAUAUUGUAAUUAUUCAGG